rnacentral:lncRNA from 1 species
AGAAAUAGUUUUGCUCGUUAUUUUGUCAUAUUAAAAAAAAUUCUCAACAAAAUUUUCCCGUUUAAACUGUACUAGAAAAAAGUUUGGCAUGUAAAACGGACGAAGACAUAUUCUAACAGAAGUACAAAUACCAGUCCUCCCUUUUGUGUAUACACAUGAGAAAACAUCACACAUACGGUACACAUUGUAGUCCGAAAAAAUAAAGGACUUCAUUCCUAUCAAACACUUUUUUAAUUGUUUACCAGUAUAUUUCUUUUAGUUUUGGGUAAAAUUGUAAAGGAAAUAAUACUACCAAGACGUCCUUCCAUAAAUCUUUCUUUUCUGUUCUGACUUUGAAGAAAUGACUACUUUUCGCCCAAUCGAAAUGGUCAUGAACAUAUUUUGUUUCAUAUUAUUAGAAUUAUUUUCAAUAUUAUCGGUCUUAAACUUGAUUAUCG